UACCAGCUCUCCGAGUGGUAGGGAUGAUUAUUGGGCUUAAAGCGUCCGUAGCCGGCUUAGCAAGUCUCCUGUUAAAUUCAGCGACCUAGUCGUUGAGCCGCGGGAGACACUACUAGGCUAGGAGGCGGGAGAGGCCGACGGUAUUCUCGGGGUAGGGGUGAAAUCCUAUAAUCCCGGGAGGACCACCAGUGGCGAAGGCUGUCGGCUAGAACGCGCUCGACGGUGAGGGACGAAAGCUGGGGGAGCGAACCGGAUUAGAUACCCGGGUAGUCCCAGCUGUAAACGAUGCGGGCUAGGUGUUGGGGUGGCUACGAGCCACUUCAGUGCCGCAGGGAAGCCAUUAAGCCCGCCGCCUGGGGAGUACGGCCGCAAGGCUGAAGCUUAAAGGAUUGGCGUGGGAGCACCACAAGGCGUGAAGCUUGCGGUUC
rnacentral:rRNA from 1 species